AAUGAAAAUAAUUUUAAGUCMAAUCUGCUCCAUGAAAUUUUAAAUAGCUGCAGAAUUUUAACUGUACAAAGGUAGCAUAAUCAAUAGUUUUUUAAUUAAAAGCUGGAAUGAAUGAUUUAAUAAGGUAAAUAUUGUYUCAAAUUUAAUAAAUUUAGAAUUUUUUUUUUUGUAAAAAAGCAAAAAUGAAUUUAAAAGACGAGAAGACCCUAUAGAUUUUUAUAAUUUUUAGUUAAAAAAAUUGAAAAUAAAUAAUAAAUUUUAAUCAAGAAUUAUUUAAUUGGGGAAAUUAUUAAAUUUAAUUAAUUUUAAUAUAAUUAAAACAAGAAUUAUUGAAUGUAUGAUUUUUUUUUAAAAAUUAAUAGAAUAAAUUACCUUAGGGAUAACAGCGUAAUUUUUUUGAAGAGAUCAUAUUGAUAAAAAAGUUUGCGACCUCGAUGUUGAAUUAAGAUAAAAUUUUAAUGUAGAAGUUAAAAAGUUUA
rnacentral:rRNA from 1 species